rnacentral:rRNA from 1 species
UACUCCGCUACUUCAGGCAAGAACCAUGUUAUACACCCAGCCCUCUCCACACCAAAAACUGCAGUACUAGUCUCACUCUUACUGGACUUGGCGGUGCCCCAGUCCCACUUAGAGGAGCCUGUUCUAUAACCGAUAAUCCCCGUUAAACCUCACCAUCUCUUGCUAUUACCGCCUAUAUACCGCCGUCGUCAGCUUACCCUGUGAAAGCCAAAAAGUAAGCACAAAAAACUUAACUCUUAUACGUCAGGUCGAGGUGUAGCGAAUGAAAUGGAAAGAAAUGGGCUACAUUCUUUAAUCAAAAAAUACGAACGGUAUACUGAAAGAUUAACCCAAAGGUGGAUUUAGCAGUAAGAGAAGACCAGAAAACUUCCCUGAAACUGGCCCUAGGGCGCGCACACACCGCCCGUCACCCUAACCCACCGGACGUGCGUUCGUCUGUUUUUUUUUUUGUGGCCCCCCCCUCACAUCGGCGCGCUGGGGGGGGGAAAAGAAAAAAAAAAACUCCUCUUGGGGGGGGGG